rnacentral:rRNA from 1 species
GACGAACGCUGGCGGCGUGCUUAACACAUGCAAGUCGAACGGUAAGGCCCUUCGGGGUACACGAGUGGCGAACGGGUGAGUAACACGUGGGUGAUCUGCCCUGCACUUCGGGAUAAGCCUGGGAAACUGGGUCUAAUACCGGAUAGGACCACUGCCUGCAUGGGUGGUGGUGGAAAGCUUUUGCGGUGUGGGAUGGGCCCGCGGCCUAUCAGCUUGUUGGUGGGGUGAUGGCCUACCAAGGCGACGACGGGUAGCCGGCCUGAGAGGGUGGCCGGCAACACGGGGACGGAGAUACGGCGCAGACUCCUAGGGGAGGCAGCAGUGGGGAAUAUUGCACAGUGGGCGCAAGCCUGAUGCAGCGACGCCGCGUGAGGGAUGACGGCCUUCGGGUUGUAAACCUCUUUCAGCACCGACGAAGCGCAAGUGACGGUAGGUGCAGAAGAAGGACCGGCCAACUACGUGCCAGCAGCCGCGGUAA